GGGCGUUUAGCGGAGUGGUAACGCGUACGUUUUGCAUAUCUGAGAGAAUUGCGUGUUUAUAAGGUCCGGGGUUUAAUUUCCCGAACGUCCG